GACGGAGGAUGCAAGCGUUAUCCGGAAUUAUUGGGCGUAAAGCGUCCGCAGGUGGACAUACAAGUCUGCUGUCAAAGUGCAGAGCUUAACUCUGUAAAGGCGGUGGAAACUGUAGGUCUUGAGUAUGGUAGGGGUAGAGGGAAUUCCCGGUGUAGCGGUGAAAUGCGUAGAUAUCGGGAAGAACACCAGUGGCGAAGGCGAGUCCCUGGACAACACCUGACACUGAGGCACGAAAGCUAGGGGAGCAAACAGG
rnacentral:rRNA from 1 species